CCUACGGGUGGCAGCAGUGGGGAAUAUUGCACAAUGGGGGGAACCCUGAUGCAGCAACGCCGCGUGAGUGAAGAAGGAUUUCGGUACGUAAAGCUCUAUCGGCAGGGAAGAAAAAAGGACGGUACCUGAGUAAGAAGCCCCGGCUAACUAAGUGCCAGAAGCCCCGGUAAUACGUAGGGGGCAGGCGUUAUCCGGAAUUAGUGGGUGGAAAGGGAGCGUAGACGGGUAUGCAAGUCGGGAGUGGAAGGCGGCAGCUCAAUCGCCGAAUUGCCGUGGAAACUGUAGGGCUUGAGUGCAGGAGGGGAGAGCGGAACUCCUGGUGGAGCGGUGGAAUGCGUAGAUAUCAGGAGGAACACCAGUGGCGAAGGCGGCUUACUGGACUGUAACUGACGUUGAGGCUCGAAAGCGUGGGGAGCGAACAGGAUUAGAUACCCCAGUAGUC
rnacentral:rRNA from 1 species